GAUGAACGCUGGCGGCGUGCCUAAUACAUGCAAGUCGAGCGAACAGACGAGGAGCUUGCUCCUCUGACGUUAGCGGCGGACGGGUGAGUAACACGUGGAUAACCUACCUAUAAGACUGGGAUAACUUCGGGAAACCGGAGCUAAUACCGGAUAAUAUAUUGAACCGCAUGGUUCAAUAGUGAAAGACGGUUUUGCUGUCACUUAUAGAUGGAUCCGCGCCGCAUUAGCUAGUUGGUAAGGUAACGGCUUACCAAGGCAACGAUGCGUAGCCGACCUGAGAGGGUGAGCGGCCACACUGGAACUGAGACACGGUCCAGACUCCUACGGGAGGCAGCAGUAGGGAAUCUUCCGCAAUGGGCGAAAGCCUGACGGAGCAACGCCGCGUGAGUGAUGAAGGUCUUCGGAUCGUAAAACUCUGUUAUUAGGGAAGAACAAAUAUGUAAGUAACUAUGCACGUCUUGACGGUACCUAAUCAGAAAGCCACGGCUAACUACGUG
rnacentral:rRNA from 1 species